AUUGAACGCUGGCGGCAUGCCUUACACAUGCAAGUCGAACGGAUUCAAGAGGCUUGCUUCUUGAGUUAGUGGCGAACGGGUGAGUAAAGUAUCGGAACGUACCCAGUUGUGGGGGAUAACGUAGCGAAAGUUACGCUAAUACCGCAUACGCACUGAGGUGGAAAGCGGGGGACCGAAAGGCCUCGCGCAAUUGGAGCGGCCGAUGUCGGAUUAGCUAGUUGGUGAGGUAAAGGCUCACCAAGGCGACGAUCCGUAGCUGGUCUGAGAGGACGACCAGCCACACUGGAACUGAGACACGGUCCAGACUCCUACGGGAGGCAGCAGUGGGGAAUUUUGGACAAGGGGCGAAAGCCUGAUCCAGCCAUGCCGCGUGAGUGAAGAAGGCCUUCGGGUUGUAAAGCUCUUUCAGACGGAAAGAAAUCUUUCGGGUGAAUAUCCCGGAAGGAUGACGGUACCGUAAGAAGAAGCACCGGCUAACUACGUGCCAGCCGCCGCAGUAA
rnacentral:rRNA from 1 species